GAUGAACGCUAGCGGCAGGCCUAACACAUGCAAGUCGAGGGGCAGCACAGAAACAGCAAUGUUUUGGUGGCGACCGGCGGACGGGUGCGUAACGCGUAUGCAACCUACCUUUAACAGGGGGAUAACGGAGAGAAAUUUCCACUAAUACCCCAUAACAUCCAUCAAGGCAUCUUGAUUGGUUGAAAACUCCGGUGGUUAAAGAUGGGCAUGCGUUGUAUUAGGUAGUUGGUGAGGUAAUGGCUCACCAAGCCUACGAUACAUAGGGGGACUGAGAGGUUAGCCCCCCACACUGGUACUGAGACACGGACCAGACUCCUACGGGAGGCAGCAGUGAGGAAUAUUGGUCAAUGGGGGCAAACCUGAACCAGCCAUGCCGCGUGCAGGAAGACGGCUCUAUGAGUUGUAAACUGCUUUUAAACAGGGAUAAAGCACAGAAUGUAUACUGUGUUGAAGGUACUGUAAGAAUAAGGAUCGGCUAACUCCGUGCCAGCCGCCGCCGUAA
rnacentral:rRNA from 1 species